GGGAGGCAGCAGUGAGGAAUAUUGGUCAAUGGGCGCGAGCCUGAACCAGCCAAGUCGCGUGAGGGAUGAAGGUUCUAUGGAUCGUAAACCUCUUUUAUAAGGGAAUAAAGUGUGGGACGUGUCCUAUUUUGUAUGUACCUUAUGAAUAAGGAUCGGCUAACUCCGUGCCAGCAGCCGCGGUAAUACGGAGGAUCCGAGCGUUAUCCGGAUUUAUUGGGUUUAAAGGGUGCGUAGGCGGCCUUUUAAGUCAGCGGUGAAAGUCUGUGGCUCAACCAUAGAAUUGCCGUUGAAACUGGGGGGCUUGAGUAUGUUUGAGGCAGGCGGAAUGCGUGGUGUAGCGGUGAAAUGCUUAGAUAUCACGCAGAACCCCGAUUGCGAAGGCAGCCUGCCAAGCCAUGACUGACGCUGAUGCACGAAAGCGUGGGGAUCAAACAGGAUUAGAUACCCUGGUAGUCCACGCAGUAAACGAUGAUCACUAGCUGUUUGCGAUACAGUGUAA
rnacentral:rRNA from 1 species